ACCCUUUAAUGUUUGAUGUUCUAACGUGGACCCGUUACCCGGGUUGCGGACAGUGUCUGGUGGGUAGUUUGACUGGGGCGGUCUCCUCCUAAAGAGUAACGGAGGAGCACGAAGGUUGGCUAAUCCUGGUCGGACAUCAGGAGGUUAGUGCAAUGGCAUAAGCCAGCUUGACUGCGAGCGUGACGGCGCGAGCAGGUGCGAAAGCAGGUCAUAGUGAUCCGGUGGUUCUGAAUGGAAGGGCCAUCGCUCAACGGAUAAAAGGUACUCCGGGGAUAACAGGCUGAUACCGCCCAAGAGUUCAUAUCGACGGCGGUGUUUGGCACCUCGAUGUCGGCUCAUCACAUCCUGGGGCUGAAGUAGGUCCCAAGGGUAUGGCUGUUCGCCAUUUAAAGUGGUACGCGAGCUGGGUUUAGAACGUCGUGAGACAGUUCGGUCCCUAUCUGCCGUGGGCGCUGGAGAACUGAGGGGGGCUGCUCCUAGUACGAGAGGACCGGAGUGGACGCAUCACUGGUGUUCGGGUUGUCAUGCCAAUGGCACUGCCCGGUAGCUAAAUGCGGAAGAGAUAAGUGCUGAAAGCAUCUAAGCACGAAACUUGCCCCGAGAUGAGUUCUCCCUGAGACUUUAAGUCUCCUGAAGGAACGUUGAAGACGACGACGUUGAUAGGCCGGGUGUGUAAGCGCAGCGAUGCGUUGAGCUAACCGGUACUAAUGAACCGUGAGGCUUAACCUUACA
rnacentral:rRNA from 1 species